AGUUGAAACCCGACCUGGAAAUAGAGCGUGGGCUUGAACAGUACAUCUUGCGUCCAAGAAGAGAAGAAAAGGAAAAAGAAGAGAUCUAUUCAGAGAAAAAGAUUUCUGAGGCGAUAAAACCAAUUGAGAAAGCAUCAUCAAAAACAAAGGAGCUAGAGUUUGGUGGAAGAAUUGGGACCUUUGUGCUGAUAUUUUUCCUGCCUGCUACUGUAUUCUACUUGCUGUUGAUGUGCAAACAAGAUGACCCCAGCCUUAUGAACUUUCCUCCUCCCCUCCCAGCACUUGAAAGUCUGUGGGAGGCUAGGGUGUUUGGUGUUUUUCUUCUGUGGUUUUUCCUUCAAGCUCUGUUUUACUUACUGCCAAUUGGAAAGGUUGUAGAAGGCCUGCCUCUUUCCAAUGGAAGGAAACUGCAGUACCAGAUAAAUGGUAAGUGUGUUGCAGUUGCUUAUUCUGAAAGUUUGAUACCACUGUCUGAUGUGCAGUGCUCAGUACCCU